ensembl:lncRNA
ACCUUAUUGUACUACAUCAGUUUGUCAGUAGCAACAAAUGCAUGACUAAAGUUGGGUACCUCAUCAGAUUAGAGAAGAGUGCUCAAGCAGAGAAUGAUGAAAUGUCUUAAAUGACAUUGUGUAUCACCGGACAGACCACGCACAGGACUCAACGUUAAUGGACAGUAUGCUCUUUCUGCCAUCAGGAAUGGUAUGCUACCUGGACUGCAGGUUCUUUGCAAGCUUUGUGGAAUUUUACUUAAAGAAAUAUUUCAAGCAGGAUAUUUUAGCAAGGCAUAACUCUCCAGAAGACAGGGCAUUGUGAACAUGAACAAGCUAAUCUGAUGUGACAGAUCUACAAAGGAGUUCAGCAAGAAGUCAAUGAAGAAAAAAGCCCGUUAUUAAAGAGAGAAGCUGACAAAAAAUAAAAAACAGAAAACAAAAAGCAAAGCACAACAAUAACACAAAGCCAUUAUAUGAAACAACUCAUCUACUUGAGUGAGAUUUCUUUCAUGGAGCCUCUGAACAUUGCUUUUCCUGGUGUAAUAAAUUAGGUGUGUACUUAUUACUUGGAAGUGUUCCUUAUUCCUACGUUUCUUCUGAUAAAAGAAGAGAAACCUUAAAGAAACAGCUGCAAAUGGAAUAAAUUAGGAAUGAGUUUCAGAAAUUUCUGGAGUUGCCCUCAUGAACUAGAGUGGAAGUCCUAUUCCCAUUGUUUUAUUAAGGUAUGCAGGAAAACCACCUACGUUUAAUAAAGAAGACAUGGGAGUGCUAAAUUUGUCCCAGAUUUGAUUACAGAUCACCAUGAUAUUAAAUGUCAAAGGGACUUUGAUGAAAUUCUUUCAAAAGACUAUUGAGCAAUAUAUUUUUCUUCACAUUAGUGUAUACUUCUCUUUUACUAGGAAAUAUGUAUGUAUACCAUUGCUCUGAUUAUAUGCACGCAUAGAUGAACUCUUGUAUCUAUGCAUUUAUUUCCAGCAAAAUGUUCUAAAAUCCUUGUUUGACAGAAACCCUUAAAAUCCAUGAAUUUAUGUCAGUGUUAAUGUUGUAUGAGAACAACCCAUUGUUUGGCUACUAGCUUACGUAAGUUGUAGCUGUCCACAACUUUUUUUGUGUGUUGUGGGUUGUUUCACUUUUAAACAAUAGCUCUGUGUCUAACAGUGUGUUCCUUAAGCUAGUACAUUGCUUUAUAGCCCUUGGAACCUGUCAGAUGUAUCUUAGUUCAGAAGUAUUUCAACAUUUUCUUGUGGUAGUGGAUAUACUAAGGAAUGGAAAAUGUAGAAACAUAACUUGUGCCAUCCUAUUUUGGAGUUCAAUUUCUUGCAGGCAGAAAGAGAACUUGUGACAUGAGCUGAUUUUUUGAAAAGUUGUUCACAAACAUUAAUCUUCUCAUUUAUGAGUGAAACUUCCAGCAAGAGGAAGAUAAUAUCUCCCUUAAUCAAAUUUGCAUAUGACUCAAUGUAUUAAAUGUGUAGAGUUAUUUAAAACUGACAAAAAUAUUUUUCAUGAGUUUCAUUUAUGAAUUACAGUCCUGAAAAUCAUGUUGGUGAUUACUAAGAGCAUAUUUACAGGAUUUACUAUAUGAAUGUAGGAAAAUAAAUAAGGUUUGUUGUAUGGUACAGAUAAAUAAAUAUAUUCUAAUAAGCAAGCAGCAAGGAUGUUUUCUUUCUGCACAGUAACAAUCUCAAAAACAAGAGCCUGGGAAAUUUAUGGAAAAGGGCCCUUCAGAAAAAAAAAAAUGUCAAGUUAAAAUUUAGAGCUUUUGUCAUACACCAUAGCAGAAUAAAAAGGUUUGCCUAGGAGCUGAUACAUGCCUGUAGGGAUUAUUCAGCAUACCUCUUCAUCUGCUCUUUUUUAAUCAGAGUGAAAUUAAAUCUUCUGCUAAUCAGUAUAAGACUCAACUGGAGCCUGAUCUGAGCACUUGCAUGACCUCACCAUGUUUCCUAGGGAAGAAAUUCUCUGAUGGCUCUACAACAAAAUUCCUAAGUAGGGCCACAGCUGCACCUGACCCGGGUUCCCCUGCCUUCUUUUGCUCUUCCAUCCCGAUCACGAUGAUGUGGGCCAGCACUUGGGACCUCAUCACUGGUGAUGGGAUAUAGUUGGAAAUUUUUGUGUGUACCAGGGCUUUCUGUCGGGAAGAUUUUCAGCACCUUUCUCUGAUUUCCUAAGUCACAUACCUACAGAGGAGUGCCACACUCUGAUGUAUGCAACUGUUAACUCACGAACCCCACUGCCCUUUAUGUUUACUAUUCCUUGGAAACAAGCUCUUGAAUAAUCUGUCAUGGUUCAUCAGCACACUGGGCUUACCCAUGGAAAAAAAAAAAAAAAAAAAAAAAAAGGGCUCUUGGCCACAUGAGAAAGCCAAGUUGCCCAGGAUGAGAACUUCUCCCUCUUUCCUUCUGCCUUGCUUCUGGCUCCAGGACAGCUCCCAUUGGAACAAAAGCCUCUCCAUGGUCCAUUGCCUACCUUGAUCCCCCAGGAAAGGCCAAGCUGAUCCCUUCAGAGAGGCAACUGGACAUUCUGGAACUUGACUGGCCAUAAAGUAUGCCCACUUGAAGCCAGCAACCCAUAAAACUGAGGCUGCCUUGGUACUGGAAGCAAGUAUUGGAAACUACAGCAAUAUCUGUGGAAAGGCUUUUCAAUCUCCUAGCUCCCCCUUCCCUCCAAACCCUGAGGUUUAGAAAGAGCCACAGGUUGGUAAUGAUGAAUGGCAGCUAAUCUCUCUACACCUCAUAAAUCCACACCUGCCUGCCUCACAGGUAAGAUCCUGAUGUUGUCCUCCCACCAAUAGUCUUGCUUUGGAAGAAUUAAGGAUGGAGGAUCAUGUUUUUAAAACCCACAGGUAACCUGAGGGCCACAGGCAUGGAAAGUGCCUCCCACUGAUACAGGAAUUACUCUGUUCAUUUUGUCACAAGUUCCAUACACAUUCCAAAGCUUGAAACAUAUUUGCCUUGAACUUUUCUUCCUCCAAAUUAGCAAAGGCUUUUGUAUAAGCAUUCUCAACCUGAUUCAGCAAGUAAUUAACCAUCUACCUUAAGGCCUUCUAAAUCAAGGACUUUGUGCUGAUGGAAAAGCAUUGUAAGCACCUGUGUUAAUUUUAACUUACUGUGCACAUCAGCAUUUCUUUCAUGGUUUCUCAGUCAUAAAGGCCAUUAGCUUUUAUGUUUUCAAUGCUAUGGCCGGUUCCAAAGGUACUAAAAUAUUUCUCCAAAGAGCAGUAUCAUAAGGAGCACAAAGCAUAUCUUUGUGUCUUGUUAAGUCCAAGACUGUAAUUUGGCUAAUCAGGAGCUUGUAAGUGCUAAAGCAGCUGGCAGUGUUCAUAUAUAUACAGUCAUAACCCAGCCUAAUACAGGCUAGAUGACAUACAUAUUCAGUAAAUUGCAUAUAAUCAAUGAAAUUGGCUGUGAUGUAAGACAUUGCCUGUUAUGAUAAACUAAGAGGUAUUAAAAGGCACCAAAUAUUCAUUAUUCAUACACACUGAUAGUACAAGGGAGAUGGAGUAUUAGAUUUUGGAAACAAAACAAACAACUUAUAUCAUAAUAAAAGAGGUUGAAAGAAGUUAGCAUGAGACAGACGAUUCAUUUGAUUUAAGUAUGUAAAUUGAAUUAUUGUAUGAGUCAUACUAAAAGAGACAAAUAGCCUUUUCUGGUUGCUUUAAAGAAAUAAUAUUUAUGUCACAUUCCAUGAGGUAUACAAACUCUAAAUAAUGCAACUAGUACUGAGAUCUUAUAUAUUUCUCUAAAAAAAAUAUUGUAUAUCCAAAGAAGGGUAGCUUUGUUUAAUGAAACAUAUCACCGUGUCUGGCAUAUAGAGAGCCACCUACUUGGGUAUCUAGAUAUGGUUUGCAUUAAAACUACCUCACAAAUGGAAUUAUCCAAACUUACAGAGCUGGAAGUACACAGUAUGCUAGAAGCACAUGCUUGUCAGAGAGUGAAGAUCUGCAUUUGGUAUUUCCUUAAGCCUUCUCAGCAGUAUGUGUGUCAGGCAUUUGUGGGUUUUAUUGUUCACUGCAUCUGAUUCACUAUGGUAAGGGUGGUAAGUUGGGCUGCUCAAAAAAAGGGCUGUUUUGUUUGGUUGGUUGAUUGGUCUUCUUUUCUUUUCUCUUCUUUUCUUUUCUUUUCUUUUCUUUUCUUUUCUUUUCUUUUCUUUUCUUUUCUUUUCUUUUCUUUUCUUUUCUUUUCUUUUCUUUUCUUUUCUUUUCUUUUCUUUUCUUUUCUUUUCUUUUCUUUUCUUUUCUUUUCUUUUCUCUUUUUCUUUUUUCUUCUUUUCUUUUCCUUUUUCUUUUUAUUUUUUCUUCUUUUUUCUUUUUUUUUGUUUGGUUUUAAAAUAAAAUUUGAAACAAGUUAGUGCCCUCAGUGUUUUCUUUCUUUAAGCUCUUAUUUCUAUUUUACAUUUCAAAAUUUUAGUUUAAUAGGAAUCUGCAAAAAAAUGCAAAGAAAAUUAUCUUCAAAAAUUGGUUUUGGCAUCAUUUGUUUCCAUGGGACAAUAAUCAGGAACCUUCUUUUAGGCUAUUUGAAUAAUUAGCAUUCCUUACUGAGUGAAUCCAUGUAAAUAAAAAUACUGGUGAUGCCAAGUCUGCCCUCUGCAGUCACACAGCUAAUAUACCUAUCUGUAUCUACCUGUUCUUGAAUAAUAUGCAGUCCUGUUAGCUGGCAUAUGAAGGUGUCAAUAAUUUUGAAUGUUUAAAUAAUACUGAGAUAAAUAACUGAGGGACAAAUCUGAAGCACUGGUGACAAAAUAAUAUUCUCAUUCAAAUGAGGCUGAGAGAGUUGGGGUUCUUCAGCCUGAAGAAGAGAAGUCUCCAGGAGGACCUUAUAGUGGCCUUCCAGUACCUGAAGGGAGCCUAUAGGAAAGCUAGGGAAAGACUUUUUAUAAAAGCACGUAGCAACAGGAUGAGGGGAAAUGACUUUAAACUGGAAGAAGGUAGUUUUAUACUGGAUAUUAGGAAGAAAUUAUUUACUGUGAGGGUGGUGAGACACUGGAACAGGUUGCCCAGCAAGGUUGUGGAUGCCUCCUUUCUGUAGGCAUUGAGGCCAGGCUGGAUGGGGCUUUGAGCACCUGGUUAGUGGGAGGUGUCCCUGCUUACAUCAGGGAGCUUGGAACUAGAUGAUCUUAUUGGUCCCUUCCAACCCAAACCAUUCUAUGAUUCUAUGAAAUAAAACUAUCUAUUUAUAAUAGUCUUACUGUAGUCCUAAAUGCAUUAUGUUAUUUCUCUGCAACAAACCUGGAUCCAAGCCUUACUCUAAACUACACAUAUGUCUUGUAUGAUCAUGCUGUCCUGUAAAUUCAUUUUUCUGAUCCUUUUUGCACACGAUCUAAAGGGUGGAAGGGCAUCAUUGUCACAGUCUCCUUUAGACAGCCUUAUAGAUAGCCUUAGAAUUCAAUUUGAAGACUACUAGAAAAUAAAUUUAAAAAAAAAUCAAAACAAUUGAACAAGUAUUUAAUUACUGUGAUAAAAAUCAUGUGUUUCAUCAGCUGUAAACAAUGAUAAUCAUAUUUGUUACUAUGAAAAAUGAUGUAAACAUUUUGGAUUUUGAGAAUGCCCAAAAAUUAAAGUCCUGUUACAUUAUGAUUAAUUGAUUCACGGUGGUUCUUGUUGAGUAAUUUUAUGCUUAAUGGGAGUCCUUCCAUUCCAUUUGUUAUCCAUUCUCCUUUCAUAGGAACUAUUAUGGUCUCAGGUGCAAAUUUAAACUGUCUGUCAUAAAAUAUAGAUCUUUUAAAAAAAUAAAAGUUAUCUCCAAGAUUUAUGAACACUUUCUCUUAAAAAAAAAACACAGUUUCAAUGAAUUCAGAUUGAUUUAUGUUUUUCCAAAAGAAAAAUCUGCUCCAGUGAAUUCAUACUUUUUGCCUACCUGUGAGAACCAGAAGAAGUAAUCAGGAUAACCUGUUAAGAACUACAUGGUAUAUGUGUCACCUCUCCAUAAGUCUGUACGCCAGUGUGAAGUAUGUCCCAUAGAUAUUUAAUAGUCAUACCAUUCCCUGUUUGUUGCAGCCAAAAACCAAUCAGAAGACUAUUGUUGGUUUGUAAUUCAUUAAGGGAGGGAUGCCUGAAGUCAUUACAGUGAAUGCAUAUUGGCCAGGAACCAUAUUUAUUUUUUGCAAAUUUCAUCUUGUCAAGCUGCAUCAGGACACAUUUUGUUAUUACUAAAUUAUCCUUUAUGACAGCUGAUAUGAUCACAGCAUUACACAAUGUGGACUGAACAAUGACAUGCAAUAGAUUGAAAUACAACAGAAAAAGUGGGCUUUGUGUAAAAAAAAUACAAUUUUUUUCUGAAUAUGAAUGUGAAAGGAUACCAAAUGAAAUGUUUGCCUGUAAUUUGUAAUUUGCACUAAAUUGAGAUCUUCUGUCCUCCCCACACAUUGCAUGAAUGCACACAAUAUACCACCAAGACAAAGGUUGCUUCUGACCCUGCAUAUACUAUGAUAAUCCAUGUAAGUGGAGAAGCCACAGAAACUUCCAGUCCAACAGCAGCUACACCUAGAAACACGCUACAGGUCUUCAGAGGUCUAUAUAGAAAAUGAAAUUUAUGGUUGCAAAUGAACUGAGGGAGCCUUUGUUUUCUUUGCAACAAUUAGAACUGAAAUGGCGGGAUCCAGUGAGUUCCUUGAAACCGUACUUUACCCAUGAUUUUUGAGCUAUACGCACGCACAGCCACUUGGGAAGAAAGGUGGCUCCACUAAGCAGCACCCACACUACUCAAGUAGGUCCUGUCCUGCUCUUGCAAACUCACCACUGUCUCGUGCCUAAGAUGGAGGACAACACCGGAAAAGUGCAGAUGCAAUUCUUCCAAAAUUUUGCAGGGGAUGCAAAUACUCAUAGCCCAUAAGACACUCAGCUAUUGCUAUCAUUCCUUUCUCCUUGUGCAUAAUUUGUCCUUGCUGGCAUAUGAUAACUGGUGUAAUAUGUAAUAUGAUCUACUUUACAUUGGCUAUUGAUGCCUGACUUGCAGUCACUGAACUGGUAUGUGACUGUUCCUUGUUCACACCGGGAGCCCACGCCUUUCUUAGGCAUUCAUUUGCACUAGCUCUUGCAAACUUUACUCCAUAAAAGCAAAGUUGCUUGAAGAGCAUCAUUUUUCAAUGUGAUAUGUGCGAUUUAUAUGGUGUACAGUUGAUGAAAUGCAUAAUUUUAGUCACAUUAAUUAAAUACUGGCUCAAUUCUCCUCUGGGAGCCAUUAAAUGGAAUCUUAAGUCUGUACGAAAGAGGCCAUCUCACAGCAGUACCUGUUUUUGCAUCUGACAGAGUUUGUCACAGUUAGGACUGAGCCUUUUUGGAAGUGGUUCAGCUAUGUCUGUGCUUGUACCAGACCACCCGAACAAGAAAGCAUUCCUCCUCUCACCUCUGAAGAGCCACAGCCCCUCAAAAGGAGAAGGAAGGCCUUGUUUGCCCCAUCCUUGAAUUGUUCUCGAGCUUGGUGUGAGGGGAAGCAAAGCUAUGACUUUCAGGGGCAACAGCAAUGUGAUCCCUGCUUUCUCUCCUGUCAGACGACACACUCUGCUACACAGUGCCUACAGUGUGCUUACUGUAGCUAAGAAAUCCUCCUCCAGGAGAUUGAUUUGUGCAAAUGGAAUCAUUCUGUGGCAGAUGGAAAUGAUAUGCUCAAAACAGCAUCCCACCCCCAUUGGUAAAUGAUCCUCUUACAUGUGCGAAUUCAUUAUCUCUGCAGGGGCAAUGCGGAAUUGAGCCAUGACAUAAUCCAAGGUUAUCUUUCAGGAGGAGAUGAAGCUGCCUGGCGUAAUGUAUUGAUUGAUGAAGAUAGAGCAUCUACAAAUGAAUAUAUGAUCUGCUCAAAUUAAAAGAAAAUUCAAUUCACAGGCUAAAAUAGCACUGAGAUAGCAUUAAGGAUGAGAUAGAAACCAAAGAGUCAGGAAAUUCUGCAGUAAAAAGCAUGCCCUGUCUUAUCUGCAACUUUUCUGGCUGUUGUAACUUUAGGCCAUAAAUGCAAUUAUUCAGCUAUAAUUUUCAUGUGUGUCCCCAUUUUUUCAUUUGUGAGACAAUAUUUUAGAAAGCAUAUUUUUAGGAUGAACUGUGUCAGCAUAAGAUCAUUACUUCUGGUAAACAGAGCAUAAUGCAUUUAAUAUAUUCUUGACUUGCAGAAUAUGUACCUGUGGGUGUUUUGUUUUGUUUUGUUUUUUAAUGUAUUUAAUAAUAUUUUGGUAUUAAGUCAUUACACAAAAGAAGAAAAAUAGAAAUGCCUUUUGCAGAAGAUAACUCUUCAUAAUAUUUAGAUAACCACAAGUGCUUAUUUGUUUAACCACUCUGUAUAUACACGGAUCAUGCAUUCACCAUGCCAGUCCACUACUCACAGAAACAGUGUUUUGGUUUCAGAGGAUGCAUUAUUGAAUAAACUGUUUAUGGUUCACAUGGUGAACAAAGUGUUUUAAAUGGAAAUUCAUAGCUUUAAAUUAAGUGUGAAAUUUUAAAAAGGGGAAAAAUUACUUAUUCUGUAUCUAAUCUUUCUAAGAGUUUCAGCAGUCGAAUGCACUCAUGCACACACAGCUGCACAAAACCACUCCAUUUUAUCUUUACUGUGGAUAGAAUGUUUUGAUUAGAACCUUUCCCUGCCUGAGACUGAGAGCCUAUCGGUGGGGUUACUCCAGCAGUGAGGGCCAAAUAGGACACAGAUGUCAGCUGUGCAUCUGUCCACAGGCAGGGAGCCAGGCCUGCUGGCCUUGCUGAAUGGCCAUGGCCUUGGCCAGAGCCCACUUCAGACUUUUGCCAUCACUUCCUGAAACAAUGUGCGAUGUGACAAGGGAUUUCACGUUCUCCAGAUGGAGCAGACUGGAGAGCUGAACUCUGAGGACUGCUCUAAUCAUGGCUGUAGAUGUUGUUUUGAAGCACUGACUCGGUCUCUUUGUUUCUUCCUCUGUAUUUUUAACAUAUACAUUGGCAUGCAGUCAUGUUAUUGCAUACAGGGGCAAAGACAAGACUCCAGGAUGUUUUUAUGACCUCUCUGAAACUCCUAUUGGACAGAAGAGUAACAUGCCUGGUACAGCAAGGACAUUCAACAUCAAAAUACCAAGAAUUUUUUGAAGAUUGAGAAUGUAUUGGAAUGUGUUUGUAUGUUAGGCAUUGCAUUUUUUCUGGUGAAGAAUUGCGUCUCACUUCCUCUAUUUUUAUCUCUUGAACAUCUGUUGAAUCUAAACUGCAUUAGAUAUCCUGCUCACUCUAAAGUAGGUCAAAGAUAUGUCAGGCCUCGGAAGACUUUAGGGAUUGGGGUAAGAAUGUCCUCCCCCAGGUCAGUUAUGCCUGGGCAUGUUACAGAGAGCCUGUUCUAUCUGAGAAAACUAUGCUGGAGCAAAUAUCUUGCCAGUGAUGAAGGAGCUGAAUCGUAGCAGAAUGUAGGACCGUCAUGGGUUUGUCUCUUUGUUUUGCUUUGUUUUCCUGUAAGUAGUGAUUUUUUUUUUUUUUUCCGGAAGUGUUUCAAUUCAGAAUUUCUUACCUCUUAAAAAACAGGUCUUAGAAUGUACAAUUCUGCACACUCUGCUGUGUUGGUGAAAGGGAUUUCAUGAUAGAAAAGUAAUACUAUUAUUAUUACUAUUUUGGUUAUCUGCAUAAAAGUGACUAUGGAUUUAAUGUUGUCAAAAAAGCAGCUGUUCCGAGUGUAUAUGCCCAUUAUACUAAUUAUAUUUCUGCCCAAACUAAUGAUGUUUUAGUGACAUUUUUACUCUGAUGUGAGAGCUCUAACACUUUCAUGAAUUAUAACAGCAAUAAUAAAAAUUAAAAUCCUUUUCUUUACACAACUGUAUAAGUCAGGACCAUUAAAUUUCAGCCAGUGUUCACGAUGCUUAAAGGUGAUCCUAUUCUCAUUUACAUAGUUAGGGGUCCUUUAGAAUCAGGUGACUUUUAUUGAAAUUCCCUUAAGGAUGUGGAUACAAUGGUUAAUCAACUUAUACCACAGUUUCUUUCAAUAGACACAUUAUGAAUUUGCUUACUGCACUAUUUCAUAUAAAAUAUGUGUUAACUUGGUUUGGAACUUGAUGAUCCUUGAGAUCCCUUCCAACCCAAGCCAUCCUAUGAUUAACCCAUAGAAACUGCUGUGUAGCUGCCGGAAAAAUGCACUUCAACCUAAAAGUGACAUUGAAUAGCAAGACAAAAGUUGAGAAUGGAUUUGAAGUGACAGGCAAAGCUCAAAUAUAUGUCAAUCAGAUACCAGGAUUUUAUGAAAGAGCACUACUUGCAUAAACGAGAUCGAAGCCCCCUGACAUUAAAUGCAGCCCUGCAUGGGCAUGAAACAGUCCCCGCCUCAAGAAGAAAUUAAGCACCUAUUUCUCAUCGUUUCCAGAGGAGGUGGGUAUUGAAGCCCUUUCAGAAAGUUUGGCCCUGGAUUUUGUAGGGCUGACUUCUGUAGUGAUCACAUUGUUUCAAAGAAGGCAGAAAACUGCUUAUCCUGAAAUGAACACAGGAACACACCCUGGCACAGUUACCUAUUACCAGCUCCAACAAAUCAGACUCCGCACUGCAACAUGAGCAUAAUACUUAGUGAUGAUAUUCCCAGCUCCUAUUUGGACUCUGAGGUAGGAUUUAUGCAAACUAACCACAGAUGCUGAAAACCUGAAGUCCCCAGUGAGUAAGCCAUGGAAAAAUGAGUUGUGAAAAAGAGGCACUUCAGUGUAUAGCACAUCUUACCCAAAACUAGAAAUCCAAAAUAGGUCAGAUGAGUUUCCAUCUUACAAUCAGGUCUAUCUAUGUGUUAAAAUUAGUUACACUCUCGGUAACGUUGACCCCAGCUUGGUACCAACUGGAUGUCAGAGUGCCCUAGUGUUCCUUGUGAAUCUGCUUCAAAGGAAUUUAAACUACUUAAGGGCCAAUUUAAUAUUGAUUCCAUAAAUAUACUGCCCAUUACUCAUUACAAGUAAUUCUGUAUAUGUACAGAAAUCUGCGUUAGUAAGGUCUUAAAUGGACAGUAACAUAAAGCUGCUUUUCUCAGCUAAUGAGCGAUAGGUUGGUUGAUGAGGUUUUUCUUCCUUUGGUUUCUUUUGUUUGUUCUUAAUACCUAUAUCUAUUCUAUUUUAAGGUAGACAGUACACUCUUUGAGUGCUAUGAACUAAAAGACCUAAAGAGUGAGGAGAACAAUCAGCAGCCCAUUGUUUUCAAACUUUUUAUCCAGUCACAUGCUAAUAACAUAUGUGUCACUGCAGCGCUAUUAAAGAAGGGAGCUCCACACACCCUUUCACCCUGCUGUCUAUCCACACUGUUGGUCACUGUGACACCUGUUUUUUACCUGUCCAGCAGCACUGGACAACUGAGAACCCCAGAUUACAUACCUAGGCCCUCAGUUUGCUCAUUGCCCUCUGGAACCCAGUAGAGACCCCAUGAGUGCCAGAGCAGGGAGCUGCCUUGAGCUAUAAAUUAGGAAACACUGCUGAGGCUUGUGCCCUGUGUUACACUGGGGAAGUCUUAAAUGUGGCCACCCCAUAGUGCAGGGAUGCUUCUUGCUGGUCAACAGGCUGCAGAACUUUUGGAGACCCAGCCCAGAGAAGUUUCCCAAAACCAGAUACCCAUAGGUCUUGUUGAGUAACUGAGUCUCGUUCUCAUAUCCUGUUUUCAAACAGCGGCAGAGGAAUAGCAUUUGUGCUAUUCAAACACGAUCUUGCUUAUGGUGCAGUCCCUGGAGAAGGCAUUAGAUGCAGGUGUUCCCCUUUAAAACAUCAUAAUCUGCUUCCUUCUUUGAUUUCCCAUCUUACUGAUUAGGAUAUUCGCCUGAAAUAUUUGGAAAAGGGGCUUUCCUGCUCAGACGAGUAUAAACCUGGGUCAUCCACUUGCUGGAAAGAAGCCUCAGCAGUACCACCAUUACAUGGAAAACAACCAUCACAAGCCCUUUCUUUUCCAAAGUCCUAAAGGCAAAGGGAACUAUAACUGCAUUUUAACAAGGAAACUUACCCAGAGACUUUCCAUUCACUCCAGUAACAUCUACAGGCUGGAGAAACUGCACAAGGACUUGUCACAUUCUGGCUCAGUUAGACAGACGUGGCCAUACUGUAGCUCUUUAUAGGUGCUGAGAGCUUCAUCCACCUGGAAAAGUGUCUCAGCAUGUCAGGCAAACACAAAAGUAGGUGCAAGGAAGUGAAGCUUUUUGAGCUUGCAGCUUUGGUCUGGUGCAGAGCUAUAGUAUCUUUUAGAUUUGGCUCAAAGUCAAAAAAAAAUGUUUUAGUUCCUGAUUUGUAUUCCAUUAUAGCCAGCUCCCAGCAACAAAAUCCUCACUAGCUUUAACUAGAGAAGGCUAAACUCUUGUGCAAUCUUCCACUAAUUGAAGGGAACUGGCAAGCAGGAGGGAGAUUGACUUUUUACAAGGUCUGAUAGCAACAGGACAAGGGGAGAUGGCUUUAGACUAAAAGAGGGGAGAUUUAGGUUAGAUGUUUGGAAGAAAGUUUUUGUUUAAAGGGUGGUGAGGCGCUGGCACAGGCUGCCCAGAGAGCUGUGGGUGCCCAUCUCUGGAGGUGCUCAAAGCCAGUGGGGAUGGGGCCCUGGGCAGUUGAGCUGGUGGGUGGCAGCCCUGCCAAUGGCAGGGGGUUGGAACUAGAUGAUCUUUAAGGCCCAUCCAACCUAAGCCAUUCUGCGAUCUUAUGAUUCUGAUUAUUGCUGCGUAUUUCAGUGUGUUUACACUGUGGGCGACCUUACUUCACAGUCUCAGGGAGGGAAAACAGCACAUUUACUCUGAGCUGCCAUUAGCAGAAACGCAUACUGGACAGGAUAAUAUUUUCCAAACCGGGCUUUCUUAGAGUCUAAAUAAAUAACAAAUAAAAUCAGCAGAUCCCUUUGUUGUGUGAAACUGGAAUGGAAAAGAAAGCAGCCCAACUGGUGACUGUUACGUUUGGUCUCUCUGGAGUCAUUAUGCCUGAGGAAAAAAUAAAGAAAAGCCCUAUCAAAACCAGAGCUGCCUAAUGGUCUUUGGGUUACAUUGCUUACAAAGAGAGAUAUGAAUCACUGUUGUUUUACUACCCGUGAAUUGGACCAUUAGUUUUAAAACCUUAUAGAACAGUUAAAUAACACUCUUUUGUUUUUUGUGUUUUUUUUUAAUGAAAACUAAUCUAACAAAUAACAUUGCAUUGUGUGAUAAAAUAAGCUAAGAAUCAUACAUUUAAAAGGAAAGAGGAACAACACAAAUUUGUAGAAACAGAAAAAAUACUGAAAUUUCUGAAGUUCUUUAGCUCAUAAAGAGUAAAGGUAGGAAUGAUCUUUUCAUUCUCUUUAUUGACAUGAUCUCAUGAAAAAAAAGAAAGGGAUCAGAACAGUAUGGUCUAUCUUUAGAGACAUCUAUUUCAUUUUGCCUUGUAUGGAAAAGCUGAACAGAAGGGGAGGAUCCUGGCUGCUGUCAUUGAAGUUUCAAUCAGAGUAAGAGUGAAUAAAAGCACAGCUGCCAGAAAUGAUACACUGAUGCCUAAAGUCUAAAGUCCAAAUAUUUCAUUUUCUCAUUAAAAUGUGUUUUUAUUGCCAGUGGAUGUAAAUAGGCUGGGAGGUUCAUUUCUUCCUGUCUGGAGAAAUGAACAAUGGGAAACAUCACUUCAGUAUCAGAAGCAAUAUAAAUAAAGCAAAGAUUCAAUCUGACUGCUGCAGAUAGCACAUUGGUGCUGGUCCAUAGUUCACUGACACUGCACAGGGGCUGAAACUUGGAAAGUUCUCGGUAGAAUUCCCAGCAGAAAUGCCUUAAAUGCAAAAGACUUGUCUGUAAAUCAGAAUUAUCACAGUAUUUUCAAUGUCCUCAUGUUUCAGCUUUCCAAAAUGUGGAGUAAACAUAUAGAUCAUAGUCAGUGCAUGUUUACCUGAUUUUUAUUUUUAUUUUAUUUUUUUUAGGAGCUUGUGUAACUAAGUUAACCAUAGAAAUGUGUGACUGAUACAAGCCCAAACACAAUAAAAAUCCUACUGCUGCUUAAAUGGUCAAAUUUGGCCAAGCUAAUUUAAGGUUAAUCUCUGUUUUUAUUCUACAAUAAACCCCUCAGGGGUGAUCUUUAAAUGGUUGCAAAAUGAAUUGCCUGGCUGAACUAUUGGCCUGCCCCACAGGGAUUGAAGGUUGGGACUGCUCUUCCCAUUGGCCACAUCCAGAACAGGACCGAGGUGUCUCUGAGCUAACUUCACUGCCUUGGAUCUAACAACCAGCUCCUAGCUGAGAACACAGAAUUAGAUGCCUGCAAUCAUUACUGAGGGAGAAUUAUGUGACUCAGACUGGCAAUCUAAUCAAGCCUACAGGCUGAGCUCCUAGGGGCAGGAAGCAAGCAAAUGUUUCCAAGUUUCUUCACACUCCAUUCUUUUUUAACUUAUUCAGGUUUUAUGAAACAGCUCCAUACAGGGUCACCAGCAAACCUUUUACUGGUGGAUGCUCAGAGCCUUUGAAAAACUGCAUGUUUUCACUGUGACAGCCUGCUGGCAGUAGUUCACUUCCACUCACAGGUGGGAUGGAAGCUGCCACCAGACCUGCUCUAGGCCAGCACAGCCAUGGGACACACACCCCACACAAACACUGGAAAGCUGUAGUUCAAGACUUAUGGAUUGAUCAUCCCCGUACAGGUCAUGCACCUAAAGCAGGUGCCAGUUGGUUCUAAUGAACCUCUCUGAAAAGAAAUGUCACUUCAAGUACUUGAGGAAAAAAAUGAGAGAAGUAUGACUAAAGAUGUUUUAGUGUUGUUUAAAUUCAUCAUUUUAUCUAGCUCAAGGUCUCUAAAUACACUGUUUGCCUUUUGUCCUGAGCAUCUGUUUCUUUAUUUUGUGAGGUAAAACAAGCUACCUGGUCUAAGAAUACCUCAACUGAUUCAUCUUCAAGAUGGAAGAUGUAUCUCCCUUGCAUGGCAGGCAUGAAAGAUUCUAACUGGAAAGCUCUCUAAUAUAGCGAUGUAUGUCAAGUACUUAGACAAAUGGCCCAUGUUUGUCUUUGUGACCUUAGAUCAAAAGCUACACAAUUAUCCCCCUAGAAUGAAUGCUUGUUUUUGUUUCUUGUCUUAGGAAGAGAGAUGGGAGAAGAAACAGGGGGUGUGGGGGGGGGGAAGAAUUCUAAUUUUUAUAUAUUUAAGGUCUUUUCUCAUAAUAUUUUGUUUUUCUUCCAAAACAUUUUCGUGGCCCUCCUCCAAACUGAGGGUAUGGGAAGAAUGAAUUGAAAGAAGAGGAACAAACUAUAAUGAAGACGCUAAUGAAAAACAUUAAGCAUGAUUUUAAUUCCACAUUCCCAAGGCAUGAAUCGAUAUUUACAUUUCACUGACCUCGGUGAAUACUCACAUCAAAGGACACAAGCUUUUAAGUCAGGUAUUUAUUGCAGUUUCUUUCCUUUCAAAAUGUUGGGAGAAUUCUCUUCACAUCUUAUACAAGAAUGAUAGAUGGUAGGAACAAAAUAAAACUUGGGAAGUUGUUUGAAAUUCCAAAAUUCAGUGGGAUAAAAAACAGCCAAAUAAAAAAUUAACUAAACUUCUUGUAGCCAGAACUCAGAUAUUUUCUCAGUAGAGGCAGCAAUGACAUAACCUUGUCAGCUUGAAGCAAGUUACUAAAGCAUUUCACCUCCAGUACUCCUUCAACUACCUGUUUUGUGAACAAAGACUGUAUUAUGUUCUCUCUCUCCACACGCCCCUACCUACCUCCUUUUCCUUAUACCCUUCAGCUCCUGUAUGACACUCAGUCAUAGAAACUGUUGCAGUCUUCCCUGAACAAUUUGCUAUUCCAGUUCCAGCAGAACAAACAGCAAAUUCAUAGUCACAUGACAGUCAGAGAGGACCUCACUGGAGCCAGAACUGAGUCAUCCUACACUUAGAUAAAUAAGAAGUCAUCCAACACUAAGUCUAACCAUACCCCACAGUCAUGAGUAGGUAGGUAUAAACAAAGCAAAAGUGGUCAUCACAGGCAGCACCACCUGCUUGAUCUAUGUGGAUUUAUUAAUACAGAAUCUCACCUAGGACCCCCCAGACAGCUUCCAUUUCUACUAAAAGUUAAAGUUUAAGCUAGCUCAAAGCUUUCUCAGGGUCUGUUGAGUACCGCAGAUGUGCCUGGUGAGGUCUGAUGGCCUUACUUCAAAGUGAAGCCCAGAGCAGUUGAGCUUAGCUAAACAGUUACCAAGCAAAAGUCAUCUUGCUCUGUUGUGCAUAAGGUUGUUCUAAAUAUUAUUUUCACUACUUCUUAAACUCUACUAAAAGGGAAAACAUUCUCUUGACGAUAAUCCUUUGGCUCAGCCAGUCAGGAAAUAAUGUGCUUUGAGUAUUGCUAGGCUAUGCUAAGUAACAUUUAUAAUCUAGGUCUUCAUUCAUUAAGUCUGUGGGUUUUGCUUUAUUGCAUUUUAUUUUAUUUUAUUUUAUUUAUAGAAAGGAACUACACGCUUUUAUAAUUCAUAGACUUACAAAUAAUUUAUAAAAUUAUUUUCUAUUUUAAAGCCCACCUCAUGGCAUAUAAAAAUAUUUCUUCAUGAUUUUGAAAAGUUACUAUUUUCUCAUAACGAGAAAAUCAUAGUUUGGUAGGAAAAUUCUUAGUGAUUAAGACUAAUUUUCAAAGUUCUGUGUCACGAAAUCUGUUCCUUAUUUAUUUCAGUUUGAUUUAAAGAUUUUUAUCAGACUGUUCAUUCAUCUUGUGUCUGUCUGAAGCCGUACAUUUAACUUAAUGAAAAAUUUCUAUCUCAUGUACUAUCCCAAUUUUGGGUCAGCCUUUUUCACAUCUACCUGGAGCAGGGUUCUGGCUAACAGAUUACGUGAUCCUCACCUGAGAUAACUUUUUGGCACCCCAAGGGCAUGAAAGAAACUAUGGAUACCACUGGAAGACCCUCAUCUGUGUUUUUAUUGAUGGUGCAUUUAAGCAAAACAAAGCAUGAACGUUUAUGCUCUACAGAAGGCCAUGAAUCUGGCUUUCCCCCAUGAUAACUUUUCUAGUUUUAAUAUAUAAAGAAACCCCAUUAUCUUGAACUUUAACACAAGGAUGUUUGAAUUAGGUGAUUCAUAUAUUGCAGAAUUCUAUUUUAGAUGUUUCAGUUCCUGUUUAGAUUUGGUUAAACUUAGCCUCACAUUGGCACUGGGGAACAUUACCAAAUUAUUUGAAUCAAGAACUGUUUAUUCAAGCAUUUUCCAGUUUGAAGAGCAAGGAAAAGCUCUGUAUACGCUGGGUGUGUCUAUCUCCCUGUCCCUUCUGGAAAGGAGAGAAGGAAGGGGAAAUCAAAAGGACUAAAAAAAGUACAAGAAGGGUAAAUUAGUUACUUGAUAUAACCCAUGUCACUGUAUCACUGACAUUUUCCAGUUCCUCCUGCUUGUCUGUAGUCCCUUGACCGCCGAAGAACACACAGUGAUAGUAGCAUGUUACUUACAGUUGAUGAAAAGCAUUAAGUUUGGUUAUUAUGCUUUCUAUUGACAUUUACCCAGCAAAGAGCAGACUGGAGAAUGACAUAGCCCAAAAGCACUAACGCAUUGUAUUGAUAAAAGUACUUCAAAUGCACACUGAAAAAUCAAUCCAUUGCUUUAGUGACUGAUGUCUGCUUCUUUUGCAGUUUUCACUGCCCUCAAAUGUACUAAUUAGGUUAUAUGUUGCUAUGAUGCUUGAAAAUGUUUGUGCUGAAUGGCUUUGUGGCUUCAUAAAUCAUCAAGCAUUAAAAAAGCCCCACUCAUAUUAAGAAAUCUGCAGUAAAAUGCUAUCACAAAGCUCAAACAGAAAAUAUUCAAGACUGAUAAUUUGUCUUGAUUCUUCCAACUGAAAGAAUUGGCAAAACCAGUGGGUCCUCAGUACUGAAGGUCCGGACAGUAAAAGGAACUGCAAUCAGAAUCGUCACACACACAGUGUCAAAAUGCUGUCUGUCAGACACCCUAAAAUAGUACAAGUGGUUCAAAAAGAAUUAAGAAAUGCAAUAGAAAGCACAGUUGAGUGUUUUGUAUCUUUUGCUUCUGUUUUCAAGGCGAGUACACUCUGAGCACUUAGAGUGUCAUGGAUCUAUGUUGACAGGUAUUUACAAGACCUGAAAGCAGGGACUUUUAAAGAUCUACUUGUUACGACAAGAUCCACAGGACAGUUAUAAAAGGUAGCAACCUUGGAUCCUUGCGUUUCAGUCACAUCUGAAUAAUUAUUUUGCUCUAUGAUUUUGUAUAAGUUUUCCAUUUCCAAAGGAUGGAAGGAUUAAGAUUAAAUACGGAAUAUCUGUGAAUGGUAAUAAACUCAGCAUGAGUCUGAAGAGUCAUACAAAGCAUGUCCAAAAAAAUGUGAGUCAGAAAUUUUAAUAUCAGAGGAAAUAGUUCAUUCAGGCUUAACCUAAAACAUGGAAAAGUAAUUUUUCUAGAUAGAUCUUUGAAAUAUAGAGAUAAAUAUGGUGCCUUUAUUUUUUUCUCCAGAAUAUAGACUAACAGAUGUUAAAAAUGGAAACAUGAAAUGGAAUGAACACAAAGCAUUCAAAGAAAACAGAUUAAAUGAAAAGGUCUCAGUAAAGAGGACAGGAGGAAAAAAAGAAGGAAAAAUGUGCAAUUGAUCACAAAAGGAAAAACAAAAUGUGUACUGUAAUUAAAGUGUCAAGACAGCUAUUUGAUCUUAAUUGCAAAUAAUUUCUCUGUGUUUAGCAGCUCUUCCAAGGCUGUAACAAAUAUGGCUGUUCUCUAGAUUACGAAUGUUUUCACCAUUUAACACAGACAUUUCUGCCAAGUGUCUAGAAUUCUGCAAUCACAGCCUUUUAGAAACUAAAGUAGCAGAUGUGUUCCAGCAGUCAAGGAUUGCAGGAACUGUGAUACGCUUUCUAGAAUAAAGCUGAAAACAGAUUUAAGAGCAGUUGAAAAGUAGCAUUUUACUUGAAUGUAGGUCAAGAAUCCAUAAAGAACUGUUUCGUUUUCUUUGAGUAUAUUACCCUAUUAUCUCUUCCUUUGGUUUUGGACUCUAUAAUUUUGACCUGUUUUCCUAGUAGUUGAUUUAUUUCUACAGUAUACUAUUUCUGACCAGUGGGGCAACAACAGUUUUAACAUGAAGAUUUUUUCAGAGUUCUUCACUGGUGAUCCAUAGAGUCUACAACACUCAGUUUAUUUCAUUGUCCUUUUGCACUGUAGUUCUGCAGUAUUCAGAGCCUGGAUAUAAGAGCAAAAGCAAUGUCAACAA